rnacentral:misc_RNA from 1 species
AACUUUUGACAAUGGAUCACUUGGCUCUCCCAUCGAUGAAGAACGCAGCGAAAUGCGAUAAGUAAUGUGAAUUACAGAAUACAGUGAAUUAUCGAUUCUUUGAACUCACUUUGCGCCCUUUGGUAUACCGAAGGGCAUGCCUGUUUGAGUGUCAUUAAAUUCUCAUCCUUGCAAGCGUUUUUGCUUGUGAGGCUUGGAUGUGAGGGUUUUUGCUGGCUUCCUUUUAAAUUGGAUGGUCUGCUCCCUUUAAAUUCAUUAGUGGGAUCCUUUGUGGAUGGUCACUUGGUGUGAUAAUUAUCUACGCCGCCUGACUCUGAAACAAGACUUGUGGGAACCUGCUUAUAACUGUCUCUUUUGGAGACUAACUUUGACAAUUUGACCUCAAAUCAGGUAGGACUACCCGCUGAACUUAAGCAUAUCAAUAAGCGGAGGCU